rnacentral:rRNA from 1 species
AUGACUGCCAGCAACGGAUAUCUCAACUCUCGCAUCGAUGAAGAAUGUAGCUAAAUGCGAUACUUGGUGUGAAUUGUAAAAUCCUGUGAACCAUCAAGUCUUUGAAUGCAAGUUGCACCCUAAGCCACUAAGCCUAGGGCACGCCUGCCUGGGUGUCAUGCAGCAUCACCCCCCUUUCAACCCCCUUGCUCGUCGAGCUCAGGGGGAAAGAAGGGGGCAAAAGAUGGCUUCCAGCUAUUCGAUCAGUCGCGGUUGGCCCAAAAGCUAGUCCUCGACAAUGACAGCACUGUGAUUGUCUGUGGUAAAACUCUUGGCAUGCCUAGUCUCUGGUGACGUGUGCUCGUUGUCCACCUACACCUCAUCGGACCCCCCGCAUUGGUAGGUCAAUGCUUGCAUCGUGACCCCAAGUCAGGCAGGAUCACCCGCUGAGUUUAAGCAUAUCAAUAAGUGAAGGAAAAGAAACUUACCAGGAUUCCCUAGUAAUGGUGAAUGAACCAAAAAAGAGCCCAGCUUGAGAAUCGGGCACCCCCGAUAUCUGAAUUAUAGUUUGGAAAAGCCUUUUUAAGGUAGACCGAGCCUAAGUCCCCUAGAAAAGGGCACCGAAAAGGGUGAGAGCCCCAUUGUGCUUGGACCUUGUUGCACCAUGAGGCGCUAUUUGUGACUUAGGUUGUUUGGGAAUGCAACCCCAAUCGGGUGAUAAAUUCUGUCCAAAGCUAAAUACAGGCGAGAGACUAAUAGCGAAUAAGUACUGUGAGAGAAAGAUGAUAAGGACUUUGAAAAGAGAGUCAAAGAGUACUUGAAAUUGUUAGGAGGAAAGUGGAUAGGGGCCAGUGAUGCACCUCGAUCGAAUGUGGAACUAUGAGACUAGGUCCGUCGAUCGACUCAAAACAUGGACUGACAUGGGUCGCGAUGACAGCCUAAGCUCUAGCUUUUGAUAUGCCUACGGAGAUGUCGUUGUUAUGAUCGUGGAAUGCAGCACUCGCUAUCUCGACAUGCCCUGACCCCGAUAUGCUUCCAACAUUAAUUUAUAGGCUCUUUAUCUGGCCCGUCUUGAAAUACGGACCAAAAAGUCUAACAUGUAUGCGAGUCAACAGGCUAGAAAACUCGUAAGGCACAAGAAAGUUGAUUGGCGGGAUCCUUUACGAGUGCACGGUUGAUCGAUCUUGAUCUUUCGAGAAGGGUUCGAGUGUGAGCAUGCCUAUCAGGACCCAAAUUAUGGUGUACUAUGCCUGAGCGGGGCUAAGCCAGAGGAAGCUCUGGUAGAUGCCCAUAGCAAUACUGACAUGCAAAACAUUCAUCUGACUUUGGUAUAGGGGUAAAAGACUAAUCGAACCAUCUAGUAACUGAUUCCCUUCAAAGUUUCCCUUAAGAUAGUUAGAGCCCUUAGCGAGUUCUAUCAGGUAAAGUUAAUGAUUAGAGGCAUCAAUGAUGCAACACCAUUGACCUAUUCUCAAACUUUAAAUAGGCAGAUGGUGAGGCUGCUUUGUUAAGCUGCGCCACGAAAUUGAGAGCUUUAAGUGAGACAUUUUUUGUAAGCAGAACUGAUGAUGUGGGAUGAACUGAAAGUCGGGUUACAGUGCCCAACUAUGCUCUAACCUAGAACCCACAAAGGGUGUUAGUCGAUUAAGAUAGCGGGAUGGGGGUCAUGGAAGUCAAAAUCCACUAAGGAGUGUGUAACAACUCACCUGCCAAAUCAAGUAGCCUAAAAAAUGGAUAGCGCUUGAGCGUGCAACCUAUACCUGGUCGUUGGGGUAAGGGCCAAAACUCGAUGAAUAGGAGGACAUGGUGGUCACCCUAAAACCAAGGGCAUGAGUCAAGGUAGAGUGGCUGUUGGUACAGAUCUUAGUGGUAGUAGUAAAUAUUCAAAUGAGAACUUUGAAGGCUGAAGAAAGGAAAGGUUUCAUGUGAACGGCACUUGCACAUGGGUUAGUCGAUCGUAAGAGAUAGGGAAAGCUUGUCUGACAGCGUGUCCAUUGCGAGCUUUGAAAGAGACUCGGGUUAAAAUUCCUAAAUCGGGAUACGACAACUGACGACAAUAUUAGGGAGUUCAAAGACAUCGAUGGGGGCCUCAAGAAGAGUUAUCUUUUUUGUUUAAUGGCCUGCCUACUCCGAAAAUGACUUAGUCAAAAGUAGAGCCCAACAGUCGGAAGAGCAUCGCACAUUACGUGGUGUCUGGUGCACCCAUGACAACCCUUGAAAAUUCAAAGGAUAAAGUGCCAUCCAUGCCCAGUCGUACUAAUAACGACAUCAAGUCUCCAAGGCGAACAGCCUCUGGUGGAUGGAAUAAUGUAGGCAAGAGAAGUCAACAAAAUGGAUCUGUAACCUCAGGAAAAAGAUUGGCUCUGAGGGCUGGGCAAGGGGGUCCCAGGCUUGAACCCGUCGACUAUUAGUGCACUGCUCGAGCUACUCUCACGGUGAAAGUGGGUCACCGUGUGUCGAUCGGGUGAUGAAAUGGGAACGGCUCCCUCAAGGGCCUUUCUCAGAUGAUGAAUAAUUGACUCAUAACUAGUACAGACAAGGGGAAUCCAACUGUUUAAUUAAAACAAGGCAUUACGAUGGUCCCUACAGAUGCUCAUGUAAUUUGAUUUUUGCCUAGUGCUCUGAAUGUUAAAGUGAAAAAAUUCAACCAAGCAUGGGUAAAUGGUCAGAGUAACUAUGACUCUCUUAAGGUAGCCAAUGCUUUGUCAUCUAAUUAGUGAUGUCCAUGAAUGGAUCAACGAGAUUCCCAUUAUCCCUAUCUACUAUCUAGCAAAACCACAGCCAAGGGAACGGGCUUGGUGAAAUCAAUGGGGAAAGAAAACCUUGUUGAGCUUGACUUUAGUCGACAUUGUGAAAUGACUUGAGAGGUGUAGGAUAAGUGAAAGCUCUCAGGCAAAAUUGAAAUACCACUACUUUUAACAUUAUUUUACUUAUUCUGUGAAUCGGAGGUGGGGCAUGACUUUUUCUUUUGGACCCAAGGCUAACCUCAAUCAGUCAAUCCAGGCAUAAGAUAUUGUCAGGUAGGGAGUUUGGCUGGGGCGGCACAUCUAUUAAAAGAUAACGUAGGUGUCAUAAGAUGAGCUUAACGAGAAUAGAAACCUCAUGUGGAAUAAAAAGAUAAAAGCUCAUUUGAUUUUGAUUUCCAAUAUGAAUACGAACCAAGAAAGUGUGGCCUAUCGAUCCUUUAGGCCUUCGAAAUUUGAAGCUAAGAGUGUUAGAAAAGUUACCACAGGGAUAACUGGCUUGUGGUAGCCAAGUGUUCAUAGUGACGUUGCUUUUUGAUUCUUUGAUGUUAGCUUUUCCUAUCAUUGCGAAACAAAAUUCACUAAGUGUUGAAUUGUUCACCCACCAAUAAGGAACGUGAGCUAGGUUUAGACUGUCAUGAGACAGGUUAGUUUUACCUUACUGAUGGUAAUGUCACAAUAGUAAUUCAACCUAGUACAAGAGGAACCAUUGAUUCACAUAAUUGGUCAUCACGCUUGGUUGAAAGGCUAGUGGCAUGAAGCUACCAUGCACUGGAUUAUGACUGAACACCUUUAAGUUAGAAUUUAGGCUAGAAAUGACACAAGCACCUAUCGCUCAAUUAUCGACCCGUAGUAGGGGCCCAUGGCCCUCAAGGGCACAUGUCGUAGGUGUAGCCUCCAAGACAGACAAGCUGCGCGGGCUUCCUUGGAGCUCAAUUCCCAUUGAG